AGGAGGUAGUUUAAUUAGAAUAUCAGCUUUGGGUGUUGAUGGUGGAAUUUGAGCUCUCCUCUUGA
rnacentral:tRNA from 1 species